rnacentral:tRNA from 1 species
AGCGCGAUGGCCGAGCGGUUAAGGCGUCGGGCUCAAGUUCCAAAGGAUGUACGUUCUCGUGGGUUCAAACCCCAUUUGCGCUA